rnacentral:rRNA from 1 species
UACGUAGGGGGCGAGCGUUAUCCGGAAUUACUGGGCGUAAAGCGCACGUAGGCGGCUUUCUAAGUCGGGGGUGAAAUCCUGGAGCUCAACUCCAGAACUGCCUUCGAUACUGGAGAGCUUGAGUCCGGGAGAGGUGAGUGGAACUGCGAGUGUAGAGGUGAAAUUCGUAGAUAUUCGCAAGAACACCAGUGGCGAAGGCGGCUCACUGGCCCGGUACUGACGCUGAGGUGCGAAAGCGUGGGGAGCAAACAGG